GAGAACACGUAUACUAAUACAAUCUCCACCUUGUUCUCCAAGUUAGCAAGCUCAACGUACCGGCCUUCGUUCAAAGCGAAUCUUGCAAAUCGUCAAAACGUCGAUCUGAUUGACCAUCGCGUUCAAUUGCGAAUGCAUUCGCAAAGAUGUUUGUCCGACGUUUAUUAUCAUGUUCCAGCGGGCAAUAUGUGUAAGUCCUGACAGACACGCGUGACACACGAUCUUUAUACGGCAUUGUUCUAGGAGGGAAAGGGAGGAAGAAGAGGAUACGAAGCUAGGGAGAGAAGGUGCAUUGCCCUCGAAUCCGGGGCCACCGGUUGGUCCAGGAUCGUCGGCUCGGAGGGAAUCGGCCUAGCCUGAACGGGUUAGAGGCUCGAUUGUGAUACAAGGUCAUCCGACGCGGAGUAUGAGUAAUCCAGCUAGCGGUGGUCAACGACAUGUUAUGCAACACGGCUGUGAUAAUCCUUUGGCGUCGCCUCCUCGUCCUUUCUCUCCUCUUCUACGCGUCCUUUUACUCGUUACUCGAUCGCGCCGGAUCGAAAAUGAAACUUGACGCACAACGAAAAACGGCUGGCAAGAGACAUUCGAAUAAAUGUUCAGCGCGACUUUUGGAUGGACAAAGAAGAAAGACGCGGAGCGGUAUUGAUUCGUCCGACGGGUGAUAUUUUUAAGCUCUCCUUGAGAAAGGGAGAUGCUUAAUUUAUACCGAAACAUGAGGAUCCGAGUAUCUCCUUCUGAUUUCAAUUUUUAUCUCCGAAAAUAAACAGGUUCUAAUCGUCGAAGGGUCAGGUAGAGUCAAGGUUGCACGAAGCUGAUAAAUUUCUUUCAUCUUUGCGAUUCCUUUUACUUACAAUUUUUAUAUUCGGUUUAUAUUCUCAACUCAACCAACGAUGAGUGAUGAAGAUUAACGUUAGAAUGCAAAGAUUCUGUCAGAUAUUUCAUUUUCAAUUAUGUUACACCGAAAUGUGUGAAUUUGUUUGAUCACGGUAACAGAAUUAACAAACAGAAUUAACGCUGUCCUCGUGCGUUGUAAUCUGAUAUUGAAAAUUGAGGAAAGGUGAAUUAUAUCACGGAAUUAUUGGGCGGAUCGCGGUCAGGAAAGACUUUGAAAUAAAGUAGGCUCCAAAUUUUCCCCCGUGGAUCAGGCUCCUUCCUCUUCUCAGACACGUAAUCCGAUGUGUGUCGUGCUUUUAGCCUUGUCCCCGCGCUGGAACAUCGAGUUUUUUUUCUUUUUUUACCCUCGAAAAUCGCGCCCAUCGACUACGCACGCUGAGAAACGAGCACGUGCUACGUUCUACUCGAGGAAGAGAGUCCUCGAAAGGUGGAUGAGAGAAAAGAAAGAAAAAAAUAAAAAAAAGUGGAGAGAGGUAACGGGACAGAGCGAGAAAGACGGAGGGAUAAUAUUCACCAGGCGCUCUCCAGGCAAUCCAUCGGGAAGCAUCGGCGACGAUUGCGAAGCCUGAUAGAAUUCAGAUCCUUGAACAAAUACCUCAAGCGUCGAGCGAAUUCCAUGUCAAACUGUAGAAUCGAAAAAUUUCCCCCUCUCGUCACGCUCGCGCGUCGUUCCGCUCCGAAAACCUAUCGCUGCCGCCUAUCUCCAGUUUCAAUCUGUAAUUUUCGUUUCUUAAAGAUACGCUCGAGCCUUGGAAAUUAUACGUUUUAAAGCCAGGAGGGAAGAGAGGUGGAUAAAAAGUCGUUUGAUAUACCCACCCAUGGGAAAGCGCUCGACGCUUCAAGGAGGAUCGAGUCGGUGUUGAAACAAAAUUAGGGAAAGCUGAAAUGAAACGAAAUUUUGGUAAAAUUUCGGAAAAUUUCCACCUCUCAAUUCAAUUCAAUUUGAUUUGAAUUUGCAAUUUUUCAGGUCUGACCUUUCAAGUACAAACAAAUGCUACUCUAAGUUCCUUAUAAAAUUAUUUGGAAUUUGGAACCUCCCCGACAUCCAAAAUAUCCGACGCGAAUCUCGCUGCGAACAUCUCCGCACAAUUACCCGGGAAUGCUCGUUUCACCAGGCUUCGCUCUAUCAAGCCGCUGCUGCUAACAGAAGAUCCCCAGCGCGCGGUUACGAUUGUGAAUAGACAGGCUGACAGUGACAGAUUUGUUCUCCUCUCCUAAGCAGCUUAGAAGACGUCCGACCAAGAAACAGAAGAGAAGAGGAGAGAGAAAGAGAGAGAGAGAGAGAGAGUAAUCCUACGUUCACUACGUCACGGGAUAGCGACGCGGAGAAAGGUCUGCUACGAAGUCCAGAUCGACGAGGAGGAGGAGGAGGAGGUCAAAGAGAGGAUGCGUGCAACCAAGAAGGAAACAGUGGCUUUGAACUUGGAAUUACAGCGAGUUGAGAAGCAAAUCAUGUUCGCUGGGGAAUGCUUGAACGUGUACCGCGUACUUGCCAUCUAUAGGGUGGUCCAAUUUGUGUAGUUGCAUCACUCACGUUAACGUUAAUGGCCCUUGAUCGCGAGUGAUCUCUAAUCGGCUCUAAUUAACGUUUCGAUAUCGGACCGUCUGACGUGGCAAACCGAUUAACAAACGCGGGACUAAUUACAGUCAUAGGCAAUUCAAUGAUUAUCGGGUGACAUGUCUCCAGAGUGUCAAUUUAAUUGGAUAUCGCGCGUGGAAAAAUGUGUAAUAAAGAAGGUGUAAAUGGUAUAAUUUGUUUCAAUGCGCGUUACGGUUGCGAUAAUUACAGUAGCGCACGGCAUAUGGUGAUUCACGAAAGCAUUAGGACGUUUGAAACUUUUUGAAACUUUGCUAAUACUUAAUGUGAGACUGUCAUUAUUGUAUUCAAAGAAACAUUUUUCACAUACAAGCACAAUGUAUAAAUGCAUAAUGUUAACAAAAUUUUGCACAGCAUAAUGUAUAAAAAUUUUUUAUAAACAUUGAAUAAGUAGAGCCACGCUUUCGUGAGCCACUUCAUUUUGUAAUAUAUUACAUGAAUAAUCCUUGAACACAAGACUCUGUUUGAUCUCCAAAUUAAUAUUGCGCACGUAUAAAUGUAAUUUGGAGAAGAAAAAAAGGGGUCAGAGAGCAGUGUGUACUUUGAACGAUUUCACCUGAUGAUUGCGUGUUUGCGCAGCUGUAGCGUUUUCAAUAUUUUCGAAAACUUCAACAGACAAUUAC